ACGUAGGCAGCAAGCGUUGUUCGGAAUUACUGGGCGUAAAGAGUGUGUAGGUGGUGUCGUAAGUUUGGUGUGAAAUCUCCCGGCUUAACUGGGAGGGUGCGCCGAAGACUGCGAUGCUGGAGUAUGGGAGAGGAAAGCGGAAUUCCUGGUGUAGCGGUGAAAUGCGUAGACAUCAGGAGGAACACCUGCGGUGUAGACGGCUUUCUGGACCAUUACUGACACUGAGGCACGAAAGCGUGGGUAGCAAACAGGA
rnacentral:rRNA from 1 species